rnacentral:rRNA from 1 species
GAUGAACGCUGGCGGCGUGCCUAACACAUGCAAGUCGAACGAACACACGGGGAGUUGGCUCCUCUGACGUUAGCGGCGGAGGGGAGAGUAACAUGUGGACAACCUACCUAUAAGACUGGGGUAACGCCGGGAAACCGUAGCUAAUACCGAAUAAUUUAUUGAAACGCAUGGGGCCCUAGUGAAAUACGGUUUUGCGGUCACUUAAAGACUGAUCCGCGCCGGAUUAGCUAGUUGGUAAGGUAACGGCUUACCAAGGCGACGAUGCGUAGCCGAUCUGAGAGGGUGAUCCGCCACACUGGAACUGAGACACGGUCCAGACUCCUACGGGAGGCAGCAGUAGGGAAUCUUCCGCAAUGGGCGAAAGCCUGACGGAGCAACGCCGCGUGAGUGAUGAAGGUCUUCGGAUCGUAAAGCUCUGUUGUCAGGAAAGAACAAAUGUGUAAUUAACCGGGCACGUCAUGACGGUACCUGAACAAUAAGCCCCGGCUAACUACGUG